GCGGUGAUGUACCGAGUGGUUAAGGCGUCUGACUUGAAAUCAGAUGGGAUCUUCCCGCGUAGGUUCGAAUCCUACUCACUGAG